CGCGGUCCCUCUUGUCCCCUGUUACUAGCUCAUAUAUACACUCUCACCACAAAUGCGUGUAUAUAUGCGGAAUUUUGUGAUAUAGAUGUGUGUGUGUGUU
rnacentral:misc_RNA from 1 species